GAUGAACGCUGGCGGCGGGCCUAAUACAUGCAAGUCGAGCGAACAGAUGAGGAGCUUGCUCCUCUGACGGUAGCGGCUGACGGGUGAGUAAAACGUGGAUAAGCUACCUAUAAGACUGGGAGAACUUCGGGAAACCGGAUACAAUACUGGAGAAUAUAUUCAACGGCAGGGUUCAAUAGUGAAUGGCGGUUUGGCUGUCACUUUGAGCUGGAGCGGCGCCGGAUUAGCUAGGUGGUAAGGUAACGGCCUACCAAGGCGACGAUGCGGAGCUGACCUGAGAGGAUGACCAGCCAGACUGUGACUGAGAGACGGUCCAGACUCCGACGGGAGGCAGCAGUGGGGAAGAUUGGACAAUGGGCUCAAUCCUGAACCAGCCAUAUCGCGUGGGUGAAGAAGGCCUUCGGGUUGUAAAGCCCUUUUGUUGGGAAAGAAAAGCAGCAGUUUAAUACCCCGCUGUUCUGACGGUACCCAAAGGAUAAGCACCGGCUAACUUCGUG
rnacentral:rRNA from 1 species